AGAUUGAACGCUGGCGGCAGGCCUAACACAUGCAAGUCGAGCGGUAGAGAGGUGCUUGCAUCUCUUGAGAGCGGCGGACGGGUGAGUAAUGCCUAGGAAUCUGCCUAGUGGUGGGGGAUAACGUUCGGAAACGGACGCUAAUACCGCAUACGUCCUACGGGAGAAAGCGGGGGACCUUCGGGCCUCGCGCCAUUAGAUGAGCCUAGGUCGGAUUAGCUAGUUGGUGAGGUAAUGGCUCACCAAGGCGACGAUCCGUAACUGGUCUGAGAGGAUGAUCAGUCACACUGGAACUGAGACACGGUCCAGACUCCUACGGGAGCAGCAGUGGGGAAUAUUGGACAAUGGGCGAAAGCCUGAUCCAGCCCAU
rnacentral:rRNA from 1 species